CUUAAAAAAAGUUUAAAUUCUAUUUUGAUAUAGUAAGCAGGGUUUUAAUUACACAUGAUAGAAUUUUAAAGAGACAAAAUUAAAAUGUUUAAGUAGAAUGUUUUCAUGAUUGAUCCAGAAGUCUUCUGUUGAAUAAGCAGUAAGUAUUCUUCCUUAUAAAAUUUUCAUAGUUGUUAUAAAUCCUGUUUAUUUUUGGAGCUAUCUGAUAACUAAAUAAUCUUCCUUAUUUCUUCUUUUAAUGAAAUGUUUGAUUUGUUUCUCAAUCAAUGAAGAUCCAGCUCCAGGUCCCACAGGGGCUCUUCUUCCCCACGAAAAAGAUCUUAUUCAAGUUCAUCAUCUUCUCCUGAGAGGAACAGAAAGAGAAGUCGUUCUAGAUCUUCUUCAUCUGGUGAUCGCAAAAAAAGACGAACAAGAUCACGGUCACCCGAAAGACGCCACAGGUCAUCAUCUGGAUCAUCCCAUUCUGGUUCCCGUUCAAGUUC
rnacentral:sRNA from 1 species